UCCCUACGGGGCGCAGCAGUGGGGAAUAUUGCACAAUGGGCGAAAGCCUGAUGCAGCAACGCCGCGUGAACGAAGAAGGCUCUUGGGUCGUAAAGUUCUGUUCUGAGGGAAGAAGAAAUUGACAGUACCUCAGGAGGAAGCUCCGGCUAACUAUGUGCCAGCAGCCGCGGUAAUACAUAGGGAGCAAGCGUUAUCCGGAUUUAUUGGGUGUAAAGGGUGCGUAGACGGGAAAUUAAGUUAGUUGUGAAAUCCCUCGGCUUAACUGAGGAACUGCAACUAAAACUGGUUUUCUUGAGUACUGGAGA
rnacentral:rRNA from 1 species